AUGUAUAAAGCCCAGGAGCCCGAUCUGUUUCUGAGAUCAAACAGAGCAGCAUUGUGCCGGGGUGUGGAGCUGAUGUCAGCGUCUAGAAUGCUGGUUGGAAUCACCCUGGUUACGCAGCUGGACCGGAAUAAGGCAAGAAAGGAAACCGUGAAAAGCUGCCAGAAAGAGAAUCUUGGUCCUGUUUACACUCACCGAAUUCAUAAAGUGCAACAUUCUCAUCUUAUAGAUAAGGAAAACUGAGUCUCGAAAAAGACACAGUGUCUUGAUCAGUAACAUGUGCAUACACUUGACCUGACCAUGCACGUUGUGAGGGGGGGAAACUGCAGUCUCCAGCGUGCAAUGCCCUGCCUGCCGACACACAGCGAGCGAACAUCCAAGCUAACAGUCAUCCCCGUUUGCCCUGCUGCUCUACCCCACAAACCAACCAAAGCCGGCUAAACAGAAAGAAAAGGAGGAAGGGAGCUGUGUUGUGUCUAAAGAAGCAACCAAAAUGAGUCUCAUUCAAUCUGCUUUUGGGGACGAGUAAAACUCCUAGUGAUAGAGGAACCUGCAGAUAUGCACGCAGCUGGGUUUCGGUUGAACUCAUCGGGACCUUCUCUGCUACGUUUCUGAAAACAGCAUCUUCGAGCUUUCUGCAUGGAGGUUCUCCAGAGGUCCUAUGACACGUACGGUUUGGCUGGAGCCCAGCCCAGACUUUUUGGGUCAGAAUCUCAGGGUGGCAUCCUGGAGCCUAAAUGUCUAACAAGUCUCCCGAGUGGAUUUUAUAGACACUGAUGUAUGAGAGCCACUGGAGUUAACAUUCUUGACCAAACACUGUGCAAAGAACAAGUUCAGCUCUCAUCCCUAAGGUGGGAGUCAGACCAGACAGGGGUGACCGUCCUGCCUUUAGUCCCCAGGUCCCACGUGCCCUUCCAGACCCUGCUUGUGGCUCAGCACAGCACAGCCCAGAAUUACUCCUCCUAAAAGACAUCUCUGCCAUUUUAAUUUCCAAAACCUGUCAAAAGCAGCUCUUCUCUUCUAAUGAGGUCAUUGGUGCCAUAAUACCAUCAGGAGGGUGCCCCGGUGAGCAGCUCAAUUUAGAAAGGUGUAUUAAAUGAUUUACAUUUCUUUAUUUAGCUGAAACACUACUUCUAGACCUGCUAAGUAAUAGGAUGUUGUUAAUGAGCCAUAGCACAGGGCUCAUUUAAUUCAAUACUGUAGCUUUCUAGCUAAUUGAGGCAUUGUUCUUCGUUUCCCUACAGUCCAAUUUUUUCUUCUCCCAAUGCCAGGGAAAGAAAAAGAAAAAAAAGAGAGAAAACCAUUUGAGGGUCAGACAGCAAAAGUAAGAACCUCUGUAAAGUCUGAUUCCCAGCCAGAUUAUGAUAGCCUUGCCUGCCAGGGGAUAAGAUUCCUUCCCUGUGUUAAGAGCUGACGUUGCAGGUUCAUUCUAGGCUGAAGCUGAACCUAGAGGCCUGAAGAGCCUCAGUCUGAAGAGCCUGGUUACAGCAUCCCCAUCCUGUGAGUUUUGCUCUCGGCAGAAGCCCAGGGGAGGAGGCCUGACUUGGGAUCAUCUAGCCUUGUUAGUAAAAGUAUGGUUCAUGGGCCAGCAUCAUGUGGAGCCUCUCUGAAAUGCAGAAUCUAUGUCCCACCCAAACCUACUGAGCCAGAAUCCAGAUUUAACAAGACUCUCAGGUGAUUCUUAUGCACCGUGAAUUUUGAAAAGCACUGGUCUAGAUCGUAACUGAUUGAGCCACAGCCUCCCAGGUCUCCCUCAGAGAGAGCUCCCUACUAGAAGGCAGCUUGUUCCCACCCCACAGAAACAUUGCUCUUGUCUAACAUGUGGGAAUAUUCUCAUGGAGGAAAAGAACUUUUUAAAUCAAAACAGAAAGACAGAAAGAAACCCAGAGAGAAACAGUAAAGACCAAAAAGCGUUGCUGAACUUGAGAAGUUCAAAAGCCCAUAUUUCAUUUUGCUCACAUAACCACAGACCUCUCCUGCAUCACACCCAAAGACUGCAGCUUUGCCUCUGCCAAGCCACAGCUAAAUAGAACGCCGGGGGAAAACUCUUUCUGACACAGGAGAGCCAGGAACUCCAGUGCAAAGACCAAUCUUCCAGCCUCACAGACUCACAGCCUGUGGGAGCAGGCAGAGGCCUUAGAAGUCGCGUCUCAUCCCUUUCAUCCUACAGAACAAGAAACUCCGGGCACGGGACCUGCUUAAGCAACCCAGUCCCAUUAGUGGCAGGGCUGGCAGGGAUUGGGCCCAGGUCUCCUGUCUCCGGUUCUCUUGCCCUCGCACCACAAGACCUCAGAGAAUCUGUACAAGGAUUCUCUUAAGGUCAGUAUGCAGAAGCUGUAUUGCAAAUUUGCAAAUGUGAAACCAUAUUAUUUUAGAGCAAGUGUAACAUUACUCAGUUGCAAGCACUGCUGUGGACAGGUAACGUCGAAGAACAGGUUUGACUCUGGUCUCCAGACUACAAAUUAGCUGGAAUAUUGGGCAGAAUGUCAUAAAUAACCUGAGCUUCUCUCAAAAACUUGAACUGAACUCAGCGCUGCAGAUUAGGAAGUAGAACACCCCCCACACAGAUCUACACACACACACUUUUAACGACUGCGUCACUCCUUCCAUCUUUCACACCUGUACAUUGUCUGUGUGAGAAGACAAGUGCCACCAACUCAACGCAGUCUCUCCACAACUGACUAUAAAUGGUUUGGCUGAGUGCCCAAAGCCACCAGUUAUUUUUUUCUUCAAAGAGGCAGCUGAACUUGAGAACCAAGUCAAAAUAACAUAAAUGCCCCUCAAACCCAAAAGUCUCAACCAGCAAUCCAUCACCUAGCAAGCCACAAGCAAUUCAGAUCCAAAAUGACCAAGUAUCCCCAGUGGGAAAAUCCACAAAAGAAAACCCGCCGUGAGGACAGUGUUUCACACAAUCCAGCUAAAUAAACCUCAGUUCUCCAAAUCCCCUUUCUCUGCU
rnacentral:lncRNA from 13 species